AGGGUUCCCGAGGGCUGAGCGGGCACACACGCCGUGCCCGGGCCCUCCCAGCGCCGCUAGCCACGGCUACUAACGACCAUCUGCCUCCCCCGGCCCGCACGCCCCACCUGCCCCAGCCGCGCUGGGGUCCGCAGCCCCUCACGGGACCGUCUCCGCUCCCCUUGCACACAGGAGCCUUGGCUGAUGCUUUAUUCCCUCUGCGGUGGCCACCUCCAGCCGCUGCGCUUUACUGAUCAACCACAGAGUCAUGGCCAAACAGCCUUCAAAUGCAGCCCAAAAAAGGGCCUGGAUUGAGCCAUGUGGGAGCUGGAAGGCUUUGACUCAGGAGCAUGGAAGGGGUCCCAACUGCAGUUUAAAGAUUAGAAGCUACACAUUGAGUGGACUCCUCAGGGCUCCCACUGCAUCCCAAACCCUUGGAAUUAGUGCUGCACAGGCACGGAUGAGAAAGCAGCCCCAUCCCUGUAGCCUGAGAAGACAAAGCAGGUGAGCAGCAGCCUCCCCUGAGCAGGGCCCUCCCUGGACGCUGCCCCUGGCCCAGAGCCUCGGACACAGCUGACCUGUCUCCAGAGGGAUGCAGCCCUGGACACAGCUGCAGAUUGCCUUACAUGUCAGGUCUGGCAGGAAUGUGGUCUCUGUCCCAUGUCUUUAGUUCUCUGCAGCCUUUUCUCAGUGACCAGAGCAUUCCCAGUGUUCAGCUGCCUUGACACCUUUUGCUCUGCAGCUGAUCUCUGUGUCCGUAGGUCUGACCAUGUCUAGCUCAUCUCCCAUUUAUGACAUCUGGCAGAAAGGUAAAUUACGCUUCCCCAGAUCCUGCUUUGCUUUAGUGGGGAACCUAUUAAUCUUAUUUGUUACACAUUUUGUGUGUAAUCUGUGCCUUCAGGAGAGCUAUAAUGAGAGUAUAACCAGAAAUCUUGUCAGCCUCUUUUGGGAAACAUUUAUAAACAGACCAGAGCAGACCCCAGAGAACCUGGGUCCUACCUGUGUACACACUGCCCACGCACUGCUUGCACAAGGGAGUUAUUAGCUACCAAUUGCUGUAUUUUCAGUGCUAGUGGCAACACUGAGCUUUUACUUUCCAUGCUACAGAGGCUGCUGGGAUAAUGGAGCCCAUAAUUACAUCCAGCCACUCGUUAGGGCUCAAAUUACAAAACCGGAUUUCUGUGCCAGACCUUCAGGAAGUAAGCUGUGGAAGGAAUCUCACAAAUAACCUGCAAUUACGUUAAUGCAGAGGGCAGGGCCUUCCCUUAAGAGCUCUCAGGCUCACUGGAGUGACCCUGGCUGGCUGAUCAGAGCCAGAUGUGCAGUGGAGAGAUAAGUGAUGCAGGUGAAUUACACAGGCACAGAGCUGGUGCUUCUGUAGCCAGGGCUGUUUAGGAAUAGACAGAAAGAAACAAAGCCUGUAGUGUGGGACAGCCAAGCAAUGGGGCCUGUGCUGCUGUGGCUUAUUCCUUCACCCUGUGGAAAGGGCUGUGCUCACAUAAGGCACAUGCACAUGAUUACAGCUCCAUUUGCAGAAUGAGUGUCUCUUCCCAGAGUGUUUGCCCAGCCGCAGAGGGCUGUGAGCAGGCCAGCACUCACACCUGCACAGGAGCGGGGAACAGAGAGCUGGGCUCAGGCAUGCCUGGAGGAGCCAUCCCGGGAAGAUCCAGCACGGCCAGUUCUGCCACAAGCUCCCUUCCCUGUGUCACCACGAAGGGCUCACACCAGCCUUACCCUGCACACUCUGGGCAAGCACAGCCACUCUUCCUCAGGGUACCACAGAAGGGAAGGGUCUGUGUUCCCUCCUCACUCCUAUGUCUAUUUACAGCAUUUUAACAACCCAGAAAUGGGGACUGGGAGAAAUUGCUUGUCCAACCUCCGCUUUCAAAGAAUGCUCAUUUCUCUCAGGUUCUGCACCUCCUCCAUAGCCCAAGGCUGGACACAAGCCACCCAAAUAUUUUCAAGCUCAGUUCAACACCAGCUCAGGCCCACCUCAAGCUGUUUGAUCUGUGAGCAAACACUCUUUAUCUAUAAGCAACCUGCUCUUUCCCAACUCCCCGCAGCAGGAAUGCAGCCUCGGCUGUUUCCAGGCAGAAGCUGCCGCACACAGCCCUGCAAUUCCCCAACAUGCUGACUUCUUCUGUCCUGAUUAUUUUAUUGAUCUGCUCUACAGAAUGGAGGGACUCUAUCCCCUUUUUCCUAUUAAAUGCAGCCUGUUUUUCUAUAAA